rnacentral:rRNA from 1 species
UACGUAGGGGCCUAGCGUUGUCCGGAAUUAUUGGGCGUAAAGAGCUCGUAGGCGGUCUGUCGCGUCGGCUGUGAAAACCCGGGGCUCAACCCCGGGCCUGCAGUCGAUACGGGCAAACUAGAGUGCGGUAGGGGAGACUGGAAUUCCUGGUGUAGCGGUGAAAUGCGCAGAUAUCAGGAGGAACACCGGUGGCGAAGGCGGGUCUCUGGGCCGAUAUUGACGCUGAGGAGCGAAAGCCAGGGGAGCAAACGGGG